rnacentral:rRNA from 1 species
GACGAACGCUGGCGGCGUGCUUAACACAUGCAAGUCGAACGGUAAGGCCCUUCGGGGUACACGAGUGGCGAACGGGUGAGUAACACGUGGGUGAUCUGCCCUGCACUUUGGGAUAAGCCUGGGAAACUGGGUCUAAUACCGGAUAGGACCAUGCGCUUCACGGUGUGUGGUGGAAAGCUUUUGCGGUGUGGGAUGGGCCCGCGGCCUAUCAGCUUGUUGGUGGGGUAAUGGCCUACCAAGGCGACGACGGGUAGCCGGCCUGAGAGGGUGACCGGCCACACUGGGACUGAGAUACGGCCCAGACUCCUACGGGAGGCAGCAGUGGGGAAUAUUGCACAAUGGGGGCAACCCUGAUGGAGCAACACCGCGUGCAGGAUGAAGGUUUUCGGAUCGUAAACUGCUUUUAUUUGUGACGAUUAUGACAGUAGCAAAUGAAUAAGGGUCGGCUAACUACGUGCCAGCCGCCGCUGUAA